rnacentral:rRNA from 1 species
GGCCUAGGUUGUACGUAGGGCAGCCGGCACCGCAGCGCGAGCGGUCGCGGCGUGGCCAAACCGCCGAGGGGCGAGCCGUGGUGCGGUACGGUGGCCCACGUUGCCUGCGGCGUUUUUUAUGCCGGGCCGCCCGUCGCUGGAGGUGUCUUAAAAGACGCCGCCCUCCCCUCUAACCCCGCCUCCUUUCGCUAUUCCAGGUCCGUCGUAACGUCGCGGCCUCAACCCUGCGCGCAGCAGAGCAGCAGACCUGGGUAGGUAGGUAGCAGAAGGAGGGCUGCUAUGGAGGGGGGGCCGCGGGCAAGGGUGAGGCGAACGGGCAAAGACACCGACCCGGAGAAUAUGGCCGGCGCCGAGCCGGGGAGCAGGUAGGUUUGCGGUAGGAGGAGGGGCGGAGGGCAACGGCUAGUGGUGACAGUCGCGGGUGCAGUGAGACUCUGGAGGGAGAGCACGGCACGAGAGGUGGAGUGAGGGUGGGGUGGGGUCGACUCCCCUGUCGACUCCUCCUCAUCGGCUUGGCUUGCGCGGCUAUAUAUAACCGGUUGGUUUGGUUUAGUGUCAGGGAUUGGUUCGGUGUGGGCGAGAAGAGCGGUCCUUGCCUCCGGUGGGUG